rnacentral:tRNA from 1 species
GGCUAUAGCUCAGUUGGUAGAGCAUCAGCUUCCCAAGCUGAGGGUCGCGGGUUCGAGUCCCGUUGGCC